rnacentral:lncRNA from 1 species
AUUUCCAGAUAGCUCUCUUCUCUGCUUCGUUGGGAGGUUCUGGGAUUGGCACGCGCUUGGACUCAUCCAGCUUAAGCUCGGUGGCCAACGGAAUGGUUUGCUCAGGAUUGGAAGCCAUUGAAAGACGCAGCAAGUAUUUCAGAGAAGACGGAAGAAGAUGAAGUGAUGAAGUCUGGAAGAAGAAGUUGCAGGUUGGAUGAAAGAGUAAAGCUUGAACAAGGAAUACCAAGAGGGUAUUUAUAAACGGA